AAAUAAUCAUCAAAAUUGGAGAUAAAAUAACCGUUAAAUUGUGAUUUUUCGUUUAUAACCGUCGAAAUUUUUUGUUCCAUUACAUAAUCUCUGAAUAUUUGUUUUUUACGAUUUUUUACGUAUGCGAUCUCGGAAUGUGUACAAAUAAGUUUGACGGUUGGAUCGUUGAAAAAAGUUUCGUAGAAUGCAUAUUGUGUCAAAACGGUAGAUUAAACAAACACUUAGAGUUAAUAUUAUACUUCUAUUAAGUAUAAAAUAAGUUUUUGUGGUAUCCACUAGUGUAAAUACUUUAAAUUAAAGAUCAAAUUUAUUCAUUACAUUCUUAUAGGGUCGAGGAGUGUAUUUGUAAAAAAUCAUCAAAAUCGGAGCUAAAAUAACCGUUAAAUUGUGAUUUUUCAUUUAUAAUCGUCGAAAACUUUUGUUCUGUUAUGUAAUCUCUGAAUGUUUGUUUUUUAUGAUUUUUACGUAUGCGAUCUCGGAAUAUGUACAAAUAAGUUUGACGGUUGGAUCGUUGAAAUUUUUUUUGUAGAAUGCAUAUUGCGUCAAAACAGUAAAUUAAACAAACACUUAGAGUUAAUAUUAUACUUCUAUUAAGUAUAAAAUAAGUUUUUGUGGUAUCCACUAGUGUAAAUACUUUAAAUUAAAGAUCAAAUUUAUUCAUUACAUUCUUAUAGGUCGAGGAGUCUAUCUGUAAAAAAAGUAUCAAAAUCGGAGAUAAAAUAACCGUUAAAUUGUGAUUUUUCGUUUAUAACCGUUGAAAACUUUUGUUCCAUUACGUAAUCUCUGAAUGUUUGUUUUUUAUGAUUUUUUACGUAUGCUAUCUCGGAAUGUGUACAAAUAAGUUUGACGGUUGGAUCAUUGAAAAAAAAUUCGUAGAAUGCAUAUUGUGUCAAAACGGUAGAUUAAACAAACACUUAGAAUUAAUAUUAUACUUCUAUUAAGUAUAAAAUAAGUUUUUGUGGUAUCCACUAUUUUAAAUACUUUAAAUUAAAGAU
rnacentral:lncRNA from 1 species